rnacentral:rRNA from 1 species
AUUGAACGCUGGCGGCAUGCCUUACACAUGCAAGUCGAACGGUAACGCGGGGCAACCUGGCGACGAGUGGCGGACGGGUGAGUAAUGCAUCGGAACGUGCCCAGUAGUGGGGGAUAGCCCGGCGAAAGCCGGAUUAAUACCGCAUACGACCUACGGGUGAAAGCGGGGGACCGCAAGGCCUCGCGCUAUUGGAGCGGCCGAUGUCAGAUUAGGUUGUUGGUGAGGUAAAGGCUCACCAAGCCGACGAUCUGUAGCUGGUCUGAGAGGACGACCAGCCACACUGGGACUGAGACACGGCCCAGACUCCUACGGGAGGCAGCAGUGGGGAAUUUUGGACAAUGGGCGCAAGCCUGAUCCAGCCAUGCCGCGUGCGGGAAGAAGGCCUUCGGGUUGUAAACCGCUCUUGCCGGGGAAGAAAUCUUCUGGGCUAAUACCCCGGGAGGAUGACGGUACCCGAAGAAUAAGCACCGGCUAACUACGUGCCAGCCGCCGCAGUAACAC